rnacentral:rRNA from 1 species
GACGAACGCUGGCGGCGUGCCUAAUACAUGCAAGUAGAACGCUGAAGGAGGAGCUUGCUUCUCUGGAUGAGUUGCGAACGGGUGAGUAACGCGUAGGUAACCUGCCUGGUAGCGGGGGAUAACUAUUGGAAACGAUAGCUAAUACCGCAUAAUAGUAGAUGUUGCAUGACAUUUGCUUAAAAGGUGCAAUUGCAUCACUACCAGAUGGACCUGCGUUGUAUUAGCUAGUUGGUGGGGUAACGGCUCACCAAGGCGACGAUGCAUAGCCGACCUGAGAGGGGGGUCGGCCACACUGGGACUGGGACACGGCCCAGACUCCUACGGGAGGCAGCAGUAGGGAAACUUCGGCAAUGGACGGAAGUCUGACCGAGCAACGCCGCGUGAGUAAAGAAGGAUUUCGGAUCGUAAAGCUCUGUUGUAGGGGAGGAAAGAGUGUGCGAGUGGGAAGUUCACACAGUGACGGUAUCUUACCAGAAAGGAACGGCUAACUACGUG